rnacentral:lncRNA from 1 species
ACCCAGUCUGUCUAGGAUGUAGCAGUCGAGGGGUUAAUUUCCAGGGGACUGGCACCAGUCUCCUGCUCCAUCUGUCCCUGAUGAUUCUUGAUUUUCAAAGACUUGGGGUUCCAGGCUUUUCCCACUUGUUAUCCCUGGGGCACCUCUAACCUUGACCCAUAAAUCCUUUGAUCCCUAAAGAGUAUGAGCAGGAGUCCCCAGAGUUUAUGGAGGAUGAACUGGGCUAGCUGUCUCCCAGUGCUACCCCCUGACCUGAUAACUUCCUCCCACCCCCACCCCACCCCCCGGUGCCCAUGCCCUGGUCCCUCCCGCAGCGUUACUGCCUGUGUAUAGUAUAAAUAUAUAUAUUUUCUAUAUAUAAGAUGUAUAAUAUAAGGCUCCACAAUAUAUCUGUGAGUGUGUGUGUGCGCGCGUGCGUGUGUGUGGUGAAGGGCAGCCCCCCAACUUGGGCCCUGCUCUAGACCCUCCCCCACCUGGUUAAGCCUCUCCAGUGGACCCAGUGGCCCUGAGGCAUCCUCCUCUAUGACAUCCAUCCAUCUGUUGUGACCAAGUGAAGGUGGUGACUUCUGGUGACAUAGUAAUAAAGUGAAGACUCAACUCACC